AUGCGGGUACUCGCUUAUGGCAUACCCGCGGAUUAUACCGAUGAGUAUCUUCGCAUUGGGCAAGAUACAACCACGGAGUUAGUCCGUAGGUUUGCCAAGUUGGUCAUUCGACUGUACGAUGAGCAGUAUCUUCAGGCACCAAACGAGGAAGAUACAAAGAGAUUAAUGGAAAUGAAUGAAAAAAGGGGAUGGUCGGGGAUGCUAGGUAGUCUUGAUUGCAUGCAUUGGAGGUGGAAAAAUUGCCCAAAGGCAUGA
rnacentral:rRNA from 1 species